ACAGGUCUAUAAAUUCUUAUGUCGCCGAACUCCAAUUUGAAACCCUAAGGAGCGGAGCUGCUGGGAGAACCACAGUUUUGUUGGCUUAGGUUCCCGGAGGUGGAGGCGGCAAUGGAGAAUCCUCAGCCUUCAAGCGCACAAAAUGGUGGCCUUAACAAGCACGGCCACAGCCACCUUAAUGUCAUCCGCUCCUUCAGCUUGGGGAGGAAGAUGUGUUCAAGUUUUGGAACUCAUUUUCAUUAACUUUCUACUAAAUAUUGGAACUUGAUUCCUAUCAUUUUUGUCCCUCACAUUGAAAAAAGAUUGGACUAAAUCCCAAAGUGAGAUUUUAGGGUGGUAGUGGAAUGGUUUCGAGAGCCAACUUCAUUAAGAGUGGGGAUUACUCAGGAAACCAAGCAGUUAAUAUUCAAGAAACCAAGCCUCUGAAGUUAAAUGAUGGAGAUGCCUAAAUGCAAUAGCCAUCACUGUACAUAUUGCUCAAGGGAGUAGAGACUCCUUUUGAUCUCUUUCAGGGUGCAAUUGCUAGAAUAAUUGGUGUUCUUCAAGCAUUUAGUAUGUUUCAAGUAUUUCAAGGUUAGCUUUGAAUUUUUUGCUUAAUGAAAUUUUUCUUCUGGUCUAUUUAGUGACCACUUAUGUUGAUUAUGCUUAAGCUUUAGAUGAAAAUCUUUGUUAAUUCUGUUUCCAUGUGAACUGAAGCUGUUAACUAUCUCAUAUAGAAUGGCUAUAGUCUAUAAGCUAACAAUGAUUAUCUUUGUUAAUUCUGUUUCCAUGUGACGAAAGUUAACCAUAGCUUAUUUUGAGCAAAAUUUCUUGCA